UACAGAGACCACAAGCGUUACUCGGAUUCACUGGGCGUAAAGGGUGCGUAGGCGGUUAGGUGUGUCAGGUGUGAAAUCUCAGGGCUCAACUCUGAGGCUGCGCUUGAAACUACCUGGCUAGAGUUUUGGAGGGGUAAGCGGAAUUUCUGGUGUAGCGGUGAAAUGCAUAGAUAUCAGAAGGAACACCAAUGGCGAAGGCAGCUUACUGGACAAAAACUGACGCUGAGGCACGAAAGUGUGGGUAGCAAAAAGG
rnacentral:rRNA from 1 species